UUACAAUCAUAGGGAAGUGGAUGUUGAAUCAAUAGCAUAGACCAGGUUUGAAGAAACUUGAUUCACAUAUUGGAGAAGAGUAGUUCACUACCUCCAUAACUCCAUAGCUUCUUCAUCUCCAAAACGCAACUGGAAAGCCUCAAAAAGGUUAUUUUGUUCACUAAAUUUAAUUUCUUUAGCUGAGUUUGGCCCUCUUUAAUUUGGUUGAUUCUAAGUUUUAGGGUUUAUAUAACUUGGUGAAUUUCAAUCUCUUUCUUCAAGUUUUAGGGUGUACGAAAUGUCAGAGAUUAGUGUCUCGUCUGUGAGGACUUGCCAUUGCGGGCUAGUUCCUCGACAAUUCACUUCAAAAACUCCUUCAAAUUGCGGAAGGAAAUUUCAUAAGUGUGCUAAUUGUGAUAAAUCAUGCAGUUAUUGGAAAUGGGACGAUGAAGAUUUCCCUGAUGGUGCGGUGAUUGCAAUUAACCAAAUACGGUUAGAAUUGGAAGCGGCAAAAGGGCCGAUCAAUGCUUUGAAUAUGACGUUGGAUCAAGUAUCGAAAGGAAUGGUUUGAAGGAAAAAGUGGAAGUUUUGGAGGCCAUGAAAAACUUUGAAAUUAAUAAAGCUAUGAAGUUGGAAGAGAAAGUAUUGAAGAUGAAGAUGUCCAUUAUAAUGUUAUGUGCGUUAAUUGUUGGAUUUGCAUUUGCAGUGAUGACAAAAUGAAGCUCAUUAUUGUGUUUGUAUUUUUGUGUGAAAGUAGAUUAAGAAUGUUUAGUGUGACUAAAUUGUUUAGUGUGACUAAAUUAAAGUUAGCUUUUGAAUGUGUAAUGUUUAGUGUUCAUUUUAGAUGAAGUUAUCUUGAAUGUGUAAUGUUUAGUGUUCUGGUUGAAGUUAGGUUUUGAAUGAACUCAUUGAUCUUUAAUGUCAAUUUACUCGUGCAUAUUAACUUGGAAUAUAUUGUUGUGAAAUUCGUUUAACUAGAUGAGUUUGUGUAGUUGCAUAUUGUUGUGUAGUUGUAUCAAACAUAUUGGUGAAUAAACACUUUAGUUGUAGACAUUUUUUGCCAAGAAAUGUAGUCCCAAACUAGACAUCAAACUGCCCAGAAAUAUAGUCCC